UGGAUGAUGAAGAUGUCAAAAUUAGGAUUUUGGCUGAGGCCAAUGACUGCGACUCGAGCACUUAUACGAAUGUGAGAGCUGGUUUCUAAAGACCAGUGGGUUAUAUUAGCGGCUUUUUCUACCCUAAUUGUGGCGGUGCUUUCAGAGAUUUCAAUAACGCAUUACUUGACGGCAUCAAUAUUCACCAAACAGAGCAGCCAAAUUCUGUGUUUGGUAGAUUGUGAUCCUUACAGUUUUGACAUUCUGUGUACAUAUCAAUUUUGCUCUAUGAAAAUGGCGUACGAUUCAAACAAUUUAAGGGUCGGAGAGAUAAAAUGGAUUGGAGUUUUUUCUUCAGAUUCUAACAAGUACUGUAUUCCAAACUAUAUUUUAAUUUAUGUUUAAAUUUUGAACUAUUUGUUGUUUUGAUAAUUAUGGGGGUGAAGAUGUGUCCACAAAUAGGAGAUGGUGCUACAUCGUGUUGUGGGUGAUUGGGGAUUCAGAGACAAGAUGGAGAUUGUUGAUUAUAUGUGGGAAUCCAUUAAGAAUUUAUAAAUGUACAUUUUUUUUCUCUAAGGAGUCAAUUGAGGGUGUUGAUUUUUUUAUUAUUAUUAUUGUCCUUAUAUCUCUUUUAUUUGUCGUUUACGUUUAGAGUUUUCAUUGAUUGAUACAAAGAGAAAUUAUUUACCUUUUUCAUAUACUUUUAUUGUAGAGACUCCUAAAUUCAGUUUCUCUUAGAUUAAUUGGAUAAUGUUUAUUUUUAUAGGAUAUUGAUCAAAUUAAGCCUUAAAAAUGACCUUAACUAUUAAGCAGCUUUCGUUCAUAUUGGCCUUUUUUGGUGUGUUGUCAUUUUUGGGGUAACAAUUUAUGGUUCUUCUUUUACUUACCAAGUUCUUCCAAUUAAUAUUUCUUUUUUAAUUUAGAAACAUCUUAAGCUCCAAAAGACUAUUUGUAUUAAGCAAUGUAAAACAGAAAGUUUAAUGGAAUGUUAAUUUAUUGUCUUUCUUAUAAAAAUUUGUACCUUUAUUCUCUUGACAGCUUGCAGGCACUCCAGUCCCAUGGAUAGGUGUUGUUAUGCGUACAUAUCCCUAUAUCCAACAGUGGCUUUGGGGUAUCUAUCCCUUCUUGAAUGGCGCAGUUGUGAUGGAUGUUAGUUGUGGAUUUGGCAUACUAAGGUGAGAUGGUUGGCAUGUCUCUGCCUUGGAUUUUAUCAUUAGAUGUGUUUGUGUGUAUAUAUGGGUUCUACCUAUAGGAAAAUUUUCACCUUUCCUCCAGUGCUUUAGUGCUUAUUUUAUGCAUAGUGCAAUAGUUUGGUCUUUACUUUGGGCAUGAGAACCCAAUUUUUAUUAUGUCUUUCGAUAUUCUAGAUGACUUAAGAGCCAUAAUGAGAGAGUAAUUAAGGAUGGAAGGUUCUUUAUAAGGGGAUUGUUUGUGUAAUUUUUUUGGUAUGUUGUUUGACGUAUGUGUGUAUCUUUCCUAUUGCUCAUUUUGUUUUCUGGUAACAACACAGAUGCAUACAUAUAACUAUUAAACAAUAUAUUACAAAACUACAAGAUUCUAAGGUGGGGUCAAGAAUAUUUUAGACAUGACCUUCUGUUUGAGUAUGCCAAUUAAAGAUCUAUGUGUUGUUUCAGUAGGUUUUUCAUGGUGCUACAAUUUACAACAUAUGAAGAACUAUGGAAAAUUAUAAUUCACUAGAAAGAGCGUAGAGAAGUCUGCAAGUUCUG